rnacentral:rRNA from 1 species
UGCCAGACUCCUACGGGAGGCAGCAGUGGGGAAUAUUGCACAAUGGGGGAAACCCUGAUGCAGCGACGCCGCGUGAGUGAAGAAGUAAUUCGUUAUGUAAAGCUCUAUCAGCAGGGAAGAAAAUGACGGUACCUGAGUAAGAAGCCCCGGCUAACUACGUGCCAGCAGCCGCGGUAAUACGUAGGGGGCAAGCGUUAUCCGGAUUUACUGGGUGUAAAGGGAGCGUAGACGGCAGCGCAAGUCUGAAGUGAAAUGCCAGGGCUUAACCCUGGAACUGCUUUGGAAACUGUGCAGCUAGAGUGCAGGAGAGGUAAGUGGAAUUUCUAGUGUAGCGGUGAAAUGCGUAGAUAUUAGGAGGAACACCAGUGGCGAAGGCGGCUUACUGGACUGUAACUGACGUUGAGGCUCGAAAGCGUGGGGAGCAAACAGGAUUAGAUACCCGAGUA